rnacentral:rRNA from 1 species
UACGUAGGGUGCGAGCGUUGUCCGGAAUUAUUGGGCGUAAAGAGCGUGUAGGCGGUCCGGUAAGUCAGCUGUGAAAGUCAAGGGCUCAACCCUUGAAUGCCGGUUGAUACUGUCGGGCUAGAGUCCGGAAGAGGCGAGUGGAAUUCCCGGUGUAGCGGUGAAAUGCGCAGAUAUCGGGAGGAACACCAAUGGCGAAGGCAGCUCGCUAGGACGGUACUGACGCUGAGACGCGAAAGCGUGGGGAGCAAACAGG